rnacentral:rRNA from 1 species
UACGGAGGGUGCAAGCGUUGUUCGGAAUCAUUGGGCGUAAAGCGCGUGUAGGCGGCUUGGUAAGUCGGGUGUGAAAUCCCGGGGCUCAACCCCGGAACGGCAUUCGAAACUGCCUCGCUAGAGUCCCGGAGAGGAAGGCGGAAUUCCCGGUGUAGAGGUGAAAUUCGUAGAUAUCGGGAGGAACACCAGCGGCGAAGGCGGCCUUCUGGACGGUGACUGACGCUGAGACGCGAAAGCGUGGGGAGCAAACAGG